rfam:Tritrichomonas foetus strain K scaffold_218, whole genome shotgun sequence.
AAAUAGGCUUUUUUAAAAGCUAAAUUAUUGUAAUUAUUAAAAGUUUU